rnacentral:rRNA from 1 species
AGUGAACGCUGGCGGUAGGCCUAACACAUGCAAGUCGAACGGCAGCACAGUAAGAGCUUGCUCUUACGGGUGGCGAGUGGCGGACGGGUGAGGAAUACAUCGGAAUCUACUUUUUCGUGGGGGAUAACGUAGGGAAACUUACGCUAAUACCGCAUACGACCUACGGGUGAAAGCAGGGGAUCUUCGGACCUUGCGCGAUUGAAUGAGCCGAUGUCGGAUUAGCUAGUUGGCGGGGUAAAGGCCCACCAAGGCGACGAUCCGUAGCUGGUCUGAGAGGAUGAUCGGCCACACUGGAACUGAGACACGGUCCAGACUCCUACGGGAGGCAGCAGUGGGGAAUAUUGGACAAUGGGCGCAAGCCUGAUGCAGCCAUGCCGCGUGGGUGAAGAAGGCCUUCGGGUUGUAAAGCCCUUUUGUUGGGAAAGAAAAGCAGCAGGUUAAUACCCCGCUGUUCUGACGGUACCCAAAGAAUAAGCACCGGCUAACUUCGUG